CUGUCUUUACGACAGUUAUUUAGUUUAUAAUAUUUUCGCUUAGUAAUUCAUUCAAUAGUAUUUUCUAGUUAGAAUUAGAAGUGUUUAAAGUGUAUUCAUUGCAUGUAAAAUAUAUCGGCAUGCGAUGACGUCACAUCCGGUUUCGCCGCGUCUUGUGGGAAAACACCGGUUUGAAAUUAGCGCGAGGGUGGGGGCUUUCCACGAGGCUCACCUGAGCACAAGCAGUUUUGCAGGCAUGAGAAAUCACAGUGAGAGCAACGCUGUAAGUUAAUAGAUAAUCGAUAUAUUGAACUAAGAUGUUAAUGCUGAUCCUGUUAGAAGUAACGACGGUAGAUAAUGUUUAUGCUUUCGUUAGUUAAAGAGUCGCGGAUAGUUUGCAUGGAAGUGUAUUUAAAGUAGUCAAUGGAGCAGGUAAACUCUCCCUGUAUACUGCACCUUAGUGUAAUGUAGUUAUAGUCACCUUUGCAAGUAUUUACACUUGAAAUGUGAUAUUAAGGAAGGAACAAAUACUGUAUCAAUCUUGUAUUGUUUUAUCAACAGUUUUCACCAUAUGUUAAUGUGAAGAGUGAACAGUAAAUGGUUAAUCUUACUGCGAUCUGGUUCUUAUUAACUGUGGUUUAUCCGGACGUUAAAUUCGGCGUUUCGUUACACCCGAAGGAGAACGUUACAGUGAAAAAGCGGCAUUAUCAGGUGUUUCAAGUGCUGCAAUGUCAGCUCAAUCCAGCAUCAAGUCGACGCCGCCCAGCGACAGGGGCAGUAAACCGACAUCAAGUAAGCCCACCCAGGCGUUAUCAGGUGUUCCAAGUGCUGCAAUGUCAGCUCGAUCCGGGAUCAAGUCGAUGGCGCCUUGCGACAAGGGCAGUAGAACAACAUCAAGUAAGUCCUCACAGGCAAGAGCCAAGGCAGAAGCCGCCAAGAUGCGACUGCAUUACGCCAAACAAGAAGCAGUUUUGAAAAUGAAACAGGCCACCAGAGAAGUCGAAAUCCGGAAAGAAAAGGCCGCCAGAGAAGCCGAAAGGGCCGCCAGACAAAGAGAAGAGGCUGCCAGAGAAGCCGAAAUCCAGAAAGAAAGGGCCGCCAGACAAAGAGAAGAGGCUGCCAGAGAAGCCGAAAUCCAGAAAGAAAGGGCCGCCAGAGAAGCCGAAGAGGCUGCCAGACAAAGAGAAGAGGCUGCCAGAGAAGCCGAAACCCAGUUGGAAAUGACAAAAAUAUCGACAGAGUUGCAUGUGCUGCAGCUAGAAAGAGAAGGAGAAGCUGCCAUGGCGGAAGCAAAGUACAUAGAACAAGCUGAAGGGUCGCGUGAUCUGACCGAAGUAAGAUCUACUUUAGAAAGGACCAGACUGGAACGCACAAGCGACUAUGUACAAUAUCAAAUAGACAGGCAGGCUCGUCUCCCCUCUCCAUACGUAUUCGAUAACUUCCCCAGCUACGAGGAACCUCAGAGAGUCACGAUUGCAUCACAUCCAUACGAGGAAGGAAAUUUACCCUCACGGCUCCGUGAUGAAGUCAAGAAUGAAAGAACCGACAACGCUCCUUCACCCCCACAACAGGACGGCGGGGAGGGAGAGGUUCACUCCAGGACAACAAUUGUCGGCUCGAACUGUACAGAAGUUUGCGGUCAAACUCAGUCAAGCCGUUCUUGUUCCGAGAUCUGCCUCACUGAGGUGUACCCUAAAGAAGCACAACAAGACAUUACCAAGUGUAAAGCAACCGAUGAGACGCUAGGCCAGUCAGUCUUCGCUCUAACGAAGUAUGACAACAAACUUGCACAAUCAGCUCAAGAUACCAUUUCUUUAAAAAUCAAAGACACCAAGGUCUUCAGAGAUGAAGCAAAUAAUGGGGUUGCCCCAUUGCCAAUCAGAGAACCACGCCAGCGCUCACCAGAUAACAAAGAGCAGGCAGUCAAACGGUUCACGUCCUUACGGAAAACCUGGAAAAGGAAACCUGAGAUACAGCAACGCACCCGAUUGGCCCACGAGGUACUGUGCACCCUAAUGGCAGAGGUCACAGCCAUUAUAAACGCACAAUCACUCCUACCUGUGUCUUCUGACCCAGAAAACCCCUUUAUACUUUCGCCAUCAAUGCUCCUUAUGCAGAAGGCAGGAGCACCUCCUCCACCAGGAGACUUCUCAGACAAGAAUUUGUACACAAGGCAAUGGAGACAAGUCCAGGCUCUGGCAAAUCAGUUCUGGCCUCGCUGGAGACAAAAAUAUCUACCUUUGUUGCAACAGAGACAAAAGUGGACAGAACCCCGAAGGAAUCUUCAAGUUGAAGACUUAGUCCUGCUCAGGGACAAGCAAGCCACCCGCAACAGCUGGCCAAUGGCCAGAAUCACUGCUACAUUCCCUAGCGAGGAUGGACAUGUCAGGAAGAUCGAAUUGAAGACUACCGACCAAGGCGAUGUGAAAAUUUACCAAGGGCCAGUUACAGAAGUUAUUCUACUUCUACCCAAUGACUGAUUAAGAGACUAAGUUUUGUACUCUGCUCAUUGUGACCUUACGAAGGUCAAGCGGGGAGUGUGCUGUCUUUACGACAGUUAUUUAGUUUAUAAUAUUUUCGCUUAGUAAUUCAUUCAAUAGUAUUUUCUAGUUAGAAUUAGAAGUGUUUAAAGUGUAUUCAUUGCAUGUAAAAUAUAUCGGCAUGCGAUGACGUCACAUCCGGUUUCGCCGCGUCUUGUGGGAAAACACCGGUUUGAAAUUAGCGCGAGGGUGGGGGCUUUCCACGAGGCUCACCUGAGCACAAGCAGUUUUGCAGGCAUGAGAAAUCACAGUGAGAGCAACGCUUUUUCACCAUAUGUUAAUGUGAAGAGUGAACAGUAAAUGGUUAAUCUUACUGCGAUCUGGUUCUUAUUAACUGUGGUUUAUCCGGACGUU